CGCCCCCGCCAUGGCGCGGCAGGGAGGGGGCGGCGGACCCGCUUCACCUGCCGCAGAGGGGGCGGCGGGCGCCGCUUCACCUGCCGGAGCGGGAGGCAACCGAGGCGAGGCAGAGGCGGCGGCGCGCGCGGCGGCGCCUCCGGGUCCUAGAACCGCAUGCUCCCGCUUGCUCGGAGACUGGGAUCGGCGGGGUCUGGGUGAGGGGAGGUCGGGAGGGGGAGGUCACGGCCUGGGAGUCGGGAGGGGCAAACCUCCUUGUCGAGGAUUGCCAGCAACUGCGAGCGCCGCUUGGAGACCCAUGACGGUGCGGCGUUGGGGCGCAAGGGCUGGGUCCCCCUCUCGGAUUCCCGACUGAGAAGGUGGGAACCCCCUUCCAGGCCCCCCACCCCUGGUUUAUGUCCUCCUCUGUUCAGUCCAGCGAGGAGCUGAGGACCAGUGGGAACCAUCUGCAAAUGAGAACCCCAAAACAGGGCGGGAGGGCGCAGAUUCAGGCCAGCGGAGACCCUCACGACCUGUCCCACCCUGGACCAACUCUGCGCGCAUGCCGAGAUCCCCAGGGUCGUAGAAUGGAGCCUAUGGAAAAAGGCAAGGGACCUAGGGUGGCCUCUCACCUUGGCGAAUAAUAAUCCCUGAAGUCUAGCAAUUACAGAAAUGCUUCCAGAGGUCUUCUUUCAUUCAUCCUGACAAUGACCAGGGAAGGUAGGUGUUGAUAUCUUCAUUUACAGAUGGGAAAACUGAGGCUCAUUGUGGUUAAGUGACUUGCCCAAGGGCACACAACUAAUAAGGGACAGAGAAAGUCCUCCUCUCUGCCCACCUUCAAAAUCUACACUGCCUUGGGCCUGCUGUCCGAGCCCCCACCGCCCCUCUCAUCCAGGGUGGUCCAGAAAGGUGAGUGAAUAUUGGGAGGGCUGUAGAACCCCAGGUCUGAGACAUAAUCUCCAACCUAUAUUUGAGGCCCUUCUCUCUCAGUUGCUCCUUUUGUUCCCCCAUUUAAUUUGUAGAGAUCCCCAACCGCCCCUCCCUGCACUUCCAAGACAUUGAGGAGGGAGGGCCCCACUAAAGGAGCCCUAGGUUUCCUCCAGGCCAGGCCAGAGGCUAUAAAUGUCCCUUCCCCUUAGAGUUUCCUCUUCCCUCUCCCCCCAUCCCCACUUUCAGAACCACUCUCUGGAGUUAACAGGAGCUGGGAAAUUUAUCUAAUUUUAAGUAAGGCCCUGGGAUGAAACAGCCCCUUCACCCAGACUGACCUGAUUUAAGCAUUUCUUCUGCCAAGGUCACCAGCACCUCUGGUGGGUGAGAGAGAGGUGGUUCUUGAUUUCAUGUCCCAUCCAGGGCCGCAUAAGGUGCCUCCCAGAUUUUGAGGUCUGAGGUUGAAGGCCCAGCAUUCCCAGAGCAGCUCUCAUUCAGCUCUCCUGCAUCCCAGGGAUGGGUGGCAUCAUCACCGAACCGCCUCAAGACUGGAAAUGAGCCAGGUGUCCCACUAUAGGGGAUCCGGGAAACCAGCAAUCCAAUAGAACUUUCUGCAAUGAUGGAAAUGUUCCAUUCCGUCAGUGCUUUCCAACAUGCUAGCCACUGGCCACAGGUACCCAUACUGAGCUCUUGAAAUGUGGCUAGCGCCACUGAGGAAAUUAAUUUCAAAUUUGACUUAAUUAUAAUUAAGUUCAAUGUAAAUAGCCACAUGUGGCUACUAUACUGGACAAUGAAGGGUUAAAUAAACUAUAGUACAUCUCCACAACAAAAAAAUAGGCAGCUGUAAAAAAAAAAAAAAAGAAAGAAAGAAAAAAAAUUGAACCUGUCAGAUAUUGAUAUGGAAAGAUCUCCGGGAUAUAUUUGGAAGCAAAAAUGUCAUGCAAAACAGUAUAUAUGCUAUGUUAUCUUUUGUGUAAGAAAGGGAGGUAGAUAUAAGAAUUAAUGUAUUUGCUUGAAUUUAUGCCAGCAAAAUAACAAAAGUAGUCACCUAUAAGAUGUGGGGGAAACAGUGUGGACAAGGCAGAGGUGGGAGCAAGACUUCUCAAUGCAUUUCUUUCUAAACUGUUUUGAUUUUUGAACCAUAUAUAUUUAUUACCUUUCAGAAAGUGAAGGUAAAAUACGAGCGAGUUGGGGCGCCUGGGUGGCACAGUGGUUAAGCGUCUGCGUCGGCUCAGGGCGUGAUC